CAGCCUUCUUUAUGCAGUAAAAUUGUCGAUUGCGUAACCGUUCCGUCGCGAAAAUCGUUCGCCGAGCAGCGUGACUAACCGUGUCAAACGCUUUCUUGAAAUCCGUAUAAAUUAUCGCUUGUAAAGAUUCCAAAUACAAAGUUGAUAAAUACGAAGUUAUACGUAAUUACAGAUCGACCAAGGGUGUUCGUGAGACAUAAAAGAAGAACUGGGAGGAGGUAAGUAUACCCCACUAACUAAAAACGUUUUAUCGUUAAAAAUAAAUCUUAC